rnacentral:rRNA from 1 species
UGGGGAAUAUUGGACAAUGGGCGCAAGCCUGAUCCAGCAAUGCCGCGUGUGUGAAGAAGGCCUUCGGGUUGUAAAGCACUUUUAUCAGGAACGAAAAGCGUGGGGUUAAUACCUUUACGUGCUGACGGUACCUGAGGAAUAAGCACCGGCUAACUUCGUGCCAGCAGCCGCGGUAAUACGAAGGGUGCAAGCGUUAAUCGGAAUUACUGGGCGUAAAGCGUGCGUAGAUGGUUUGUUAAGUCGGAUGUGAAAGCCCCGGGCUCAACCUGGGAACUGCAUCCGAUACUGGCAGACUAGAGUGUGGUAGAGGAUGGCGGAAUUCCCGGUGUAGCGGUGAAAUGCGUAGAGAUCGGGAGGAACAUCCGUGGCGAAGGCGGCCAUCUGGACCAACACUGACGUUGAGGCACGAAAGCGUGGGGAGCAAACAGGAUUAGAUACCCACGUAGUCCCUGAGCGGGCUGGCAAGGCGCAU